GGCGCUUCGUUUCCUUCCGGGCGGACCUCCAGCCGGUGAGGCUCCUGGCUGUCUUUGGCUCCAGGGAGCCCUGAGCGUGGAGGGACAGCACCAGGACCAUGGUGAGGAAAGCAGGCUUGGUGAGGUCAAGUAACUUCCUGAAGGCGCCCAUCUCAUAGCAAUACCAGUGGCUGACACAUCUGAGCACGUCUGCGUCAGGCACUGUAUUGAUGAUUUUGCUUGUAUCUUGCAACACUCGGAGAAUGCAUGUCUAUACUCCAGCAGAAACAAACCCAGGCAAGAAUGCUACUCCAAUGUCUCACCUGAGCAGACACUGCUAACUAAGCCAC